UAGAGUUUGAUCCUGGCUCAGAUUGAACGCUGGCGGCAUGCCUUACACAUGCAAGUCGAACGGCAGCACGGGCUUCGGCCUGGUGGCGAGUGGCGAACGGGUGAGUAAUACAUCGGAACGUGCCCUGUAGUGGGGGAUAACUAGUCGAAAGAUUAGCUAAUACCGCAUACGACCUGAGGGUGAAAGCGGGGGACCGGUAACGGCCUCGCGCUACAGGAGCGGCCGAUGUCUGAUUAGCUAGUUGGUGGGGUAAAGGCCUACCAAGGCGACGAUCAGUAGCUGGUCUGAGAGGACGAUCAGCCACACUGGGACUGAGACACGGCCCAGACUCCUACGGGAGGCAGCAGUGGGGAAUUUUGGACAAUGGGGGCAACCCUGAUCCAGCAAUGCCGCGUGCGUGAAGAAGGCCUUCGGGUUGUAAAGCACUUUUGUCCGGAAAGAAAUGGCCUGGGCUAAUACCCCGGGUCGAUGACGGUACCGGAAGAAUAAGCACCGGCUAACUACGUGCCAGCAGCCCCGGUCAA
rnacentral:rRNA from 1 species